rnacentral:rRNA from 1 species
GGAUGAACGCUGGCGGCGUGCUUAACACAUGCAAGUCGAACGAUGAAGCUCAGCUUGCUGGGUGGAUUAGUGGCGAACGGGUGAGUAACACGUGAGUAACCUGCCCUUAACUCUGGGAUAAGCCUGGGAAACUAGGUCUAAUACCGGAUAGGAGCGCCUACCGCAUGGUGGGUGUUGGAAAGAUUUAUCGGUUUUGGAUGGACUCGCGGCCUAUCAGCUUGUUGGUGAGGUAAUGGCUCACCAAGGCGACGACGGGUAGCCGGCCUGAGAGGGUGACCGGCCACACUGGGACUGAGACACGGCCCAGACUCCUACGGGAGGCAGCAGUGGGGAAUAUUGCACAAUGGGCGAAAGCCUGAUGCAGCGACGCCGCGUGAGGGAUGACGGCCUUCGGGUUGUAAACCUCUUUCAGUAGGGAAGAAGCGAAAGUGACGGUACCUGCAGAAGAAGCACCGGCUAACUACGUG